UUCCUUGUACCAUAGAGGGACGUAAUGCUGCUUCCAAGAACUCUAGAACAAAUUCCUCCAUGAGUCAUCCUGACGAAACGCCAACACAUUCAACACAAAAAGUAUUGUCUUCAAAGUUUUGUUCUGUGGCUUCUUGCUGCCAGCCGUGUGGACAGUGAAGAAGCAGAUGCAGUGCACGCUGAAAACAUCACCUCAUCACAGAUGCAUCGUGCACUGACACUAUCUUGUGGUCUCCAGAGACGAGUACAACCUGCGCUAUGGGAAACCGGUACACAUCUUUGUGGAAACUGGCCCUGAGGUGAUGUCAAUUUUUCUUUUUAUUUUUCGCGUAACACCAUCGAGCUUCCUACCAGACCUCAGGCUAUACCAUCUUGAAUCUCAGAGACAAGUGUAUAUUGUUGUGUGCGACCCUCAAAGUUAAUGGACAGUCAUCCAUAUUGAGCUUAUGAAGUAAUAAACUCUGUUGUUGUCUCCCUCAGAAUAUCGCAUGCCUGUGCAUGCUACAGUUGUUGCUAUAUGUGUGUGGUUUUCACAGCUUGCUCAAUGCUGCUUCUUUUUCUCUUUCUUUCUUGUUUACUAGACGUUUCUGAAGAUCAGGAGUAGAGAUCAGAAAACAAAAAGCUUUGUGUCAGUAACAUGUCUUGAGGAGCUAAUCAGAGUUGCUGUGGGUCAUGGAAUUUGUCAGGAGGGCAACAUACAGGUGUAUUUAAUGGAUGAGUUAUCACUUCGCUCUAUGGUUGCUGGUGCUGAGAAAUGCCUCGAUGACAUUUUCAUUGUUAGAAAUGGACUAUGGAAACAAGUUAUAGUGCAUACAUCUCCAGAUGCCAUUUUGCCCUCUUGCUUGGGGCUUUAAGUGCCAGUUUUUGUUUUGCUUUCCUGUUUAGAUCAGUCAACAUGUGUGAGUGCACCUUCACCAAUCCCACAAAUGCCUCUGCUCUCACGAAUUUAUUACCCUUGGGGGAGCCUCAGCAAGACAGUACUUGAUGCAUUGGAAGCAGACAAUGUCCUGCUUCCCUCUCAACGACAGGAAGUGGCACACAUGGCAGCGUCAUGUCCCUGCAUAUCCAUUGAAGGUGGGAGGCACUCCUGAUAUUUAUUCACAUGCACCUGGUUGGUAUCAUUGAGAACGAAGGGAGCCAGCAGGCAUUAAAAAAUCAAGAGGACUACAUGCAUAAAUGCGUGAGGCAAUGAAGGUCGCAGAUGAAUAUAGCAAGAAGUGGGAACAUCUCAUGUGAUACAUGGCGGUCAAAUGUUCCACCACCAAAGUCAUGUACAAGUUAUUUGUAGUCUUUUCAGUAAUUUCCAAAAUAAAGGGUUAUUAUUGAAAA